rnacentral:rRNA from 1 species
CCUACGGGAGGCAGCAGUGGGGAAUAUUGCACAAUGGGCGCAAGCCUGAUGCAGCGACGCCGCGUGAGCGAAGAAGGAUUUCUGUAUGUAAAGCUCUAUCAGCACGGAAGAAAAUGACGUUACCUGACUAAGAAGCUACGGCUAAAUACGUUCCAGCAGCCGCGGUAAUACGUAUGGAGCCAGCGUUAUCCGGAUUUACUGGGUGUAAAGGGAGCGUAGGCGGCCCUGUAAGUCUGAUGUGAAAAUUUGGGGCUCAACCCCAAACGUGCCUUGGGAACUGCAGGGCUUGAGUGCCGGAGAGGCAGGCGGAAUUCGUAGUGUAGCGGUGAAAUGCGUAGAUAUUAGGAGGAACACCAGUGGCGAAGGCGGCCUGCUGGACGGUAACUGACGCUGAGGCUCGAAGGCGUGGGGAGCAAACAGGAUUAGAUACCCGGGUAGUC